UCCCAAUCCUCCUGUAUCAGCCUCCAGAGCCCCUGGGAUGACAGGUGUGUUGUAAUUCACCAUACCCUGCUUGUGAUUAUUUUUUACUACCUUCUUUUUUUUUCUACUCUCCAUGAGCAAGAAUAGUUGUCAUAGAUUCAUGGAAUUUUGGAACUGGAAGAACCUUUAGAGUAUUCUUUCCUGCACUCUGUUCCAUGAAUAUCCCCAUUAGUUAUUUGUUGUAUAUUAAAAUAAAUUGAUUUUUCAAUCAACAAGUUUUGGGGAGGGGUAGGUUCAAUAUUAUCAACACUGUUUUCACUGUGGGAUCUUUUCAGAGCCUUUAGGGUGCUGGCGAUCUGAAUCUCCGGUCAUGAAUUUGACCGCAGAACCCAUGUGACAGAGAAUGUAUCACAACCCUUUAGGAACAUUGGUUCUUGCAGAAAACUCUGGAUGGGAACUUGGAGAUGCCCAAAGAGGAAACAACUUCUCCUUGUUGGAAAAAGUAUAAACAGCAGCCAUACCCCAGAGAAAAAACCCCAACAUGGCGCCUAAGGACCUCUUCUUCCUACCUUCUUCUUUUCUGCAGUGGCGCGAAAAGUUCCCCUGUGAACUCUCCCGCCGGCGGCAAUUUCAAAUCUUGCUGGCGGGGAACCUUAGCUCCAAUGAGAACUAAUUCCUGGGCUCCGAAGCUGAUAUCUGGAAGAACUUGCCAAUAAACGGGUUGCCUGCCAUUUAUCUAAGCCCUACCAUCUCCCCCUUAGUUCUAUAUAAGCACACAGCUUUUUGCAAUAAAAUUGGAAUUCUCCCAGCGAAGUGUCUUUGCGUGGGGAAUUCUUUCACUCCUAGGCCCCUAGUUGGUCAGGGGCAGAGUCCUGAGUCCAGCCUGGGACUGCUGGUGCCUCUCCAGGAGGCUUUGCACUAAGCAUGCCACUCGCCCUGACAUGGAUUUCUGCAGAAGACCUUGGGCAAGAUAAGCAGCAAAACCACCUACUGAGGACAUGCCCUGGGUGUUAAGUGCCUUCUUCUGCCCUGUGAUCUCUGGCAAGUUGUUGCAGUCUCCUGGGCCGGUUUGUUCUCCUCUGUAAAUAAGGAUGAUUGCAUUUGCCUUCUGGUGGUGUUGAGAAUUUAAAUGAAAUGUGCAUGCAAAGCACAUACGUUAAUUAUAAAUCACCUAUCAUUGUCCUGGUCUGUGGUUGGUGCUUAAAAUAUGUUGACAGCUAUUGGUAAACAGUGUUUUAAGAGGGGGGAGGAGCAAAUCCAGCAGUAGGUAAAGG
rnacentral:lncRNA from 1 species